rnacentral:lncRNA from 1 species
GCUACAUCAAAAUCAUUUUAAUCUUAUUAAAAGAACUUGGGCCUAUCACAACCAUUGGUCCAAGUUAAUAUGAAUUAGUAGUUUAUAAUACUCCCACUAUUUCGAUGAAAUAAGUGAGACUAUAUGGAACUACUAACGAAUGUUUUGCAUCCUCAUAUGGACUAUAUAGUCAUAUUAGGUUUUAGGAUGAUUAUGAACUGUUUGAAUUUGAUCCAACACGAGCCUUGUGUUG